rnacentral:rRNA from 1 species
AUUGAACGCUGGCGGCAUGCCUUACACAUGCAAGUCGAACGGUAACGGGCCUUCGGGUGCCGACGAGUGGCGAACGGGUGAGUAAUGCAUCGGAACGUACCCAUCAGUGGGGGAUAACUCUCCGAAAGGAGGGCUAAUACCGCAUAUUCUGUGCGCAGGAAAGCGGGGGACCGCAAGGCCUCGCGCUGAUGGAGCGGCCGAUGUCAGAUUAGCUAGUUGGUGGGGUAAAGGCCUACCAAGGCGACGAUCUGUAGCGGGUCUGAGAGGAUGAUACGCCACACUGGAACUGAGACACGGCCCAGACGCCGACGGGAGGAAGCAGUGGGGAAUUUUGGGCAAUGGGGGCAACCCUGUUCCAGCUAGGCCGCGUGGGUGAAGAAGGCCUUCGGGUUGUAAAGCUCUUUCGGCCGGGAAGAAAUCGCAUCUCCUAAUACGGGGUGUGGAUGACGGUACCGGAAUAAGAAGCACCGGCUAACUACGUGCCAGCCGCCGCAGUAA